UUUCCUGUGGCUUAGCUGGUAGAACAUUGUGCUUACAAAGCAAAUGUGUGGGUUAAAAUCCCAGGGAAAG